CCUGCCACUAGAAACAUUGCAGGUGUGGCUGUUGUGUCACAUGUGCAUAAGCAGGUGGCAGAGAAGAGAGAGUCUACACUCAAUAUUCUGACCUAUGAACGUCUGAAUGAUUAGUGGACUAACAUU
ensembl:snoRNA Gm24160 small nucleolar RNA SNORA17